UCGCCGAGAGGUGGUGCAUGGCCGCCGUCAGCUCGUAUCGUGAGACGUCCUGUCAAGUCAGGUAACGAGCGAGACCCUUAUCCUUAGUUGCCAGCGGAUUCCGUCAGGAAUGCCGGGCACUCUAAGGAGACCGCUGUCGAUAAGGCAGAGGAAGGAGAGGGCGACGGUAGGUCCGUAUGCCCCGAAUCCCCCGGGCAACACGCGGGCUACAAUGCGCGGGACAGAGGGCUGCGACCCCGAGAGGGGAAGCCGAUCCCUAAACCUGCGCCUAGUUCGGAUCGAGGGCUGCAACUCGCCCUCGUGAAGCUGGAAUCCCUAGUAAUCGCGUGUCACUAUCGCGCGGUGAAUACGUCCCUGCUCCUUGCACACACCGCCCGUCAAGCCAUCCGAGUGGGAUUUGGAUGAGGC
rnacentral:rRNA from 1 species